GAUGAACGCUAGCUACAGGCUUAACACAUGCAAGUCGAGGGGAAACGACAUCGAAAGCUUGCUUUUGAUGGGCGUCGACCGGCGCACGGGUGAGUAACGCGUAUCCAACCUGCCCACCACUUGGGGAUAACCUUGCGAAAGUAAGACUAAUACCCAAUGAUAUCUCUAGAAGACAUCUGAAAGAGAUUAAAGAUUUAUCGGUGAUGGAUGGGGAUGCGUCUGAUUAGCUUGUUGGCGGGGUAACGGCCCACCAAGGCUACGAUCAGUAGGGGUUCUGAGAGGAAGGUCCCCCACAUUGGAACUGAGACACGGUCCAAAAUCCUACGGGAGGCAGCAGGGAGGAAUAUUGGUCAAUGGACGAGAGUCUGAACCAGCCAAGUAGCGUGCAGGAUGACGGCCCUAUGGGUUGUAAACUGCUUUUAUAAGGGAAUAAAGUGAGUCUCGUGAGACUUUUUGCAUGUACCUUAUGAAUAAGGACCGGCUAAUUCCGUGCCAGCAGCCGCCGUAA
rnacentral:rRNA from 1 species